rnacentral:lncRNA from 1 species
UGGGAUUUCUCUCAAACUAUAAUUAAUGGGAAGGGUACAGGCCAGACCUGAGGGCAGCUUUUGCAUUCCAAGCUCCGUUCCUGUUGGAACAAGAAACAAGAGUCAAUGGGUGGUUACAAAAAUAGGUAACUCCGUAAUCACAUCUCUGGCUAAGGGCGCGAGCUCGUGGAGUGCACCUUUUCCCAUCAUGCACAGCUGUGCGUAUGGGACCGUAGCCAACCUCAGGGACAUUUACAAGGAACGAUCCUGAAGUUCAAAGUCCAGAGAGGACCCCGAAUACAAACGAGAAUGUAAACUACGGAAUCCUAGUUCCUUGUCCUACUCCAUAGAUGCCAUGUUCACUUAUGGUCCACUCUUCUUCUUAACAAAGACUGUGCUUGGCAAAAAUUUGAAGGAAGG